rnacentral:rRNA from 1 species
GAUGAACGCUGGCGGCGUGCUUAACACAUGCAAGUCGAACGAUGAAGCUCAGCUUGCUGGGUGGAUUAGUGGCGAACGGGUGAGUAACACGUGAGUAACCUGCCCUUAACUCUGGGAUAAGCCUGGGAAACUAGGUCUAAUACCGGAUAGGAGCGUCCACCGCAUGGUGGGUGUUGGAAAGAUUUAUCGGUUUUGGAUGGACUCGCGGCCUAUCAGCUUGUUGGUGAGGUAAUGGCUCACCAAGGCGACGACGGGUAGCCGGCCUGAGAGGGUGACCGGCCACACUGGGACUGAGACACGGCCCAGACUCCUACGGGAGGCAGCAGUGGGGAAUAUUGCACAAUGGGCGAAAGCCUGAUGCAGCGACGCCGCGUGAGGGAUGACGGCCUCCGGGUUGUAAACCUCUUUCAGUAGGGAAGAAGCGAAAGUGACGGUACCUGCAGAAGAAGCACCGGCUAACUACGUG